ACGGUGGCCGAGAUGGCUGGGGCUGGAAGACGACCGCCCGAGCAGAGGAGAAGCGCCAAGGUCCCCCCGCGCAUCACCUCCAAGUCUCCGAGCUCCGCCCCAGCCGCCGCCCCGCGCGCUCGCACUCACCGGCCUUGGGGCUCCUCGGCCGACGCCAGCCUCGGCCCCACGGGCAGCCGCGUGGACAGCAGGUACAGCGCGAAGGUGCAGACGCCGAAUACCAGGAGCAGGCCGAGCAGCGCGCGCAUGCCGCGGCCGGGCCGGGGAGCGCGCUCCCCGCGUGGCAGCGCCGAGCCUUUCCCCGUGCGCCGGCUGGGCGGGCGGAGCGCGUUCAUCGACGGACGGAGGCGUGGUCUGCGCGGAGCCCCGCCCCCUCCAGGGACUGCUUGAGCUCGCUGGUCUGUGCGCUCCUGCCUUCUCCGCGCUGAGCUCCCCAGCACCGCCCCUUGAGUCAGAACUGGGAGAUCUAGGGGUGAGUUGUGAGCCUGCCACAGCCAGCUUGCAGCAUGGUGGUCAAACGGCCUGGUCCGUAGUCUGUCACACAAAGCAAAUGUAGCCAACAAAUGUGGAACUGGCGCUGAUGGUGACCACCACAGAAAGAAACAGACUUGCCUUCUACCCAGCACCUAAUGAGUGGGUGCUCACUAUCACCAAUCCUCAUAAACACAUUUCAGUAUGUGCCUUAACGGAUGAAAAACGGAUGUUAUAACUCUUGUCUAGGAGCUAGCACGGACAAACCUGUGACACACAUCCGAGUCUUAGAGUCUGUGAUGCUGGACGAGGUGGUCAUGUGAUUGAUUCAGCACUUGAGGAGCGGAAGGACGUUCUGGCAAGCGGCCCAAUCCUAUGGCUAGAUGGCCUUGGGCCUCUAGCAAGGUGGCUCAUGAUGAUGGGAGAGUACAAGGACCACAAAUGCUUAUUCAGGGAGCCAGGAAGCAAAGACAGGAAGACUGGGGUCCUGCAGUGCUCCUAGAGGUGAGUCCCCAAUGACCUGAGGAAUGCAGUUCUCCCUUCCUCAGUGUUCUGUUCGAUACCUCCCACGCAUCCACACUCAUCAGCCGAAGAAGGAAGCGUUCAAAGAGCAUGGAAGAGGCAACGUGUGCUAUGGCUGGACAUGAGGCCUGAGCAGAGUCCCUGAAGAGGGGACAUAGAGCAAAGCUCUGGAUGUGAGGAGCAGAGAGCUGAAGGAGCUGAGAGUGCACUCACAUUUAAUUGUGUCACUGAUCUGGGGUUCAGACAGACACACAGACAGAGACAAAAGAGGAAAGUUGAAGACAAGCAGUGGAUCCCAAAGCUCCUCCAUGCUAGGCAUGGCGGCCCACACCUGUAUCAUCCCAGCCCCAGAGAGACUGAGAUGGUGUGAGUGCCAGUGGAGUUCAGAGAUCUCGAGUAACCAUGUGCAGGGAUCGCGAUGCCUGCGUCAUAGGCUGGAGGACCUCAUGGCUGUGCUUGAAGUACAGAUCCUCCUGCCUGAUGUUAUAGCAGGUCUCCCGUUGAACAAAGGGCCCGCAGGGUCAAGACCUAAAAGACAAGGCAGAGCAGCUUGGCAGCCCCACUCCAUGAAUCACUGAAGCUGUCUUUGAUCCCUCCGGAGAGGAUGGCUCACAGGCUGCAGGGCGUGCUUGGGUGCUGGAGAAUGAAGCCAGGACCUCACGCACGCAAAGCAUGUGCUCAGCUACGCAGCUAGUCCCUGUGGGUGUCACUUUGAGGACAUCUCCUCUUCCCGUGUUCCACACACAUCUAAGAGACAGACAGCAUCUUUGCUUCGGUUUCCUAGUUUCUUCCCUCUCAAUGUCCUUGUGGUCCCUUGAAACAUUUCUUAGUCUCCCUCCCUCCUUCCCUUACUUCUCCACCCCCAGUCGUCUUCUGUCCUCUCCAACUGAAACUGGUGUGGGAGGGCAUGAGGAAACACCCAGUCACCCAAGGACAACAGGUGUCCUAAACACAACAGGUCUUAACACAGUAGGAAAAGACUCCAUAGCCUUGGAAAGAAUUUACCCAGAAUCCUCCCCACCACCGCCCCUUCAGUCAACACCAUCCACUUCCUUCACAAAAAAUAGAACUUCUAUCCUACAGGCCCCCUACGUUUAAAACCCUGGUGUGAGGAUGAUUCCUGGGAAAGGUGAAUGCUAAAUUCCUGCAAGCUGGGGCAACCCUCAGCCCUCCUGGCAGAAAAAGAGGAACCUUGACGGCAUCCUGCAAUGCUGACUCUACUGCUUUAAUACACAGAGGAGGAAACUGAAGCCCAGAGCUGAAGUCAUCUGGCCCAAGUACAGCAGGUGGGUAGUGUGAAGAGCAGGAUUGAAACCAACCUAACCCCAAACUUGUGUCUUUCGGUGUCUCCGUUCCUGACUCUGCUGGUCAUUGAGCAGGGACAUAUUUAGUAACUCCAGAUCGGGGAGGGGUGAUAAAGCAUUUUGAUGGAGUCACCAUCUCGGUGGAAGGAAAAGUGGGGGAGGGGAGAGCACACCCGAUGACAGGCUGGAUAGCUGGCUCUGAGCCACCCAAGUACUACCUGCUUGCUGAGGACCAUGUACAACUCAUCACCACCAGCCACAGUGGUCACUUCGUGGGAGUCUCUCUGAAUUGCUCUGACUUCAUGAAAUUGUUAUUGUUAGAAAAGGACAGCUCUGCUGGGUGGUGGAGCACGCCUUUAGUCCCAGCCCU